UUCCCUACACGACGCUCUUCCGAUCUGGAUGCCUAGGCAUUGAGAGGCGAUGAAAGACGUAGGAGCCUGCGAUAAGUUUCGGCGAGCUGGCAAGCAAGCGAUGACCCGGAAAUUUCUGAAUGGGGAAACCCACUGGCCGUCAUAGGCCAGUACCGAAAGGAGCCAACGCGGGGAACUGAAACAUCUAAGUACCCGUAGGAAAGGAAAUCAAACGAGACUCCCUGAGUAGCGGCGAGCGAACGGGGAAUAGCCCAAACCAUGCCAAUUCGUUGGUGUGGGGUUGUAGGACUGACAUAAGGAUCGGUGAUUGAUAGCGGAAGUAUCUGGGAAGGUACAGCAUAGAGGGUGAGACUCCCGUACGCGAAAUCAUGAACCGGACAGACAGUAUCCUGAGUACGAUGGGGCACGUGAAACCCCGUUGGAAUCUGGGGGGACCACCCUCCAAGGCUAAGUACUACUCAAUGACCGAUAGUGAACGAGUACCGUGAGGGAAAGGUGAAAAGAACCCCGGAAGGGGAGUGAAAAGACCCUGAAACCGUGUGCUUACAAACAGUGGGAGCUCUUCGGAGUGACCGCGUACCUUUUGCAUAAUGAGCCAGCGAGUUGUGGUUCGCAGCGAGGUUAAGCCGUCAGGUGUAGCCGUAGGGAAACCGAGUCUGAAUAGGGCGAAUAGUUGCGGGCUGCAGACCCGAAGCCAGGUGAGCUACCCAUGGGCAGGGUGAAGCGAGGGUAAAACUUCGUGGAGGCCCGAACGCACAAGAGUUGAAAAUCUUGGCGAUGACUUGUGGGUAGGAGUGAAAGGCUAAUCAAACCUGGAGAUAGCUGGUUCUCCCCGAAAUGCAUUUACGUGCAGCGUCGGACAGCACCGUUGAGGGUAGAGCACUGACAGGACUAGGGGCCCUCCAAGGUUACCAACUCCUAUCAAACUCCGAAUUUCAAUGAGUGACGUACGGCAGUGAGACUGCGGGAGAUAAGUUUCGUAGUCGAGAGGGAAAGAGCCCAGACUACCGGCUAAGGUCCCCAAAUUUGUGCUAAGUGGUUAAGGAAGUGGGGAAACAUAGACAACCAGGAGGUUGGCUUAGAAGCAGCCACCCUUUAAAGAAAGCGUAAUAGCUCACUGGUCAAGUUGUCCUGCGCCGUAAAUAUAGCGGGGCUAAGCACAAUACCGAAGCCGUAGCAAUGUAUUUAUACAUUGGGUAGGGGAGCGUUCCAUAUGCGGAGAAGGGGAAGCGUGAGCGACCUUGGAGCGUAUGGAAGUGAGAAUGCUGGCGUGAGUAGCGAUAAAGCGGGUGAAAAACCCGCUCGCCGGAAACCCAAGGGUUCCUGUCCAAGGAUCAUCCGGGCAGGGUUAGUCGGCCCCUAAGGCGUAGCUGAAAGGCGAAGUCGAUGGGAAACGGGCUAAUAUUCCCGUACCUUCAACGAGGAGCAGUGCCGGGACGGAGAAGGCUAGGCCAGCCACCUGAUGGAUGGUGGUUCAAGGUAGUAGGCUGGGGUUGUAGGAAUAAAACGCGACCCCUUAAGGCCGAGAACUGAUGACGGAGUGUCUUCGGACAUGAAGUGGUUGAUGCCAGGCUUCCAAGAAAAGCGGCGGGCUGCGUUGAGACGUUGAAGACCGUACCCCAAACCGACUCAGGUGGGUAGGUGGAGAACACCAAGGCGCUAGGGAGAACUCGGGUUAAGGAACUAGGCAAAUUGACACCGUAACUUCGGGAUAAGGUGUGCCACUGGUAGGUGAUAGGACUUGCUCCUGGAGCCGAAGGUGGUUGCAACAAAGCGGCGGUAGCGACUGUUUACCAAAAACACAGGUCUCUGCGAAACCGUAAGGUGACGUAUAGGGACUGACGCCUGCCCGGUGCUGGAAGGUUAAGAGGAGUCGUUAGCAUUAGCGAAGCGGCGAAUUGAAGCCCCAGUAAACGGCGGCCGUAACUAUAACGGUCCUAAGGUAGCGAAAUUCCUUGUCGGGUAAG
rnacentral:rRNA from 1 species